AUUCCGCUGCGGCAAGCGCGCUGAAGCCUUCGCGAAAGCUCUUACAGUGCUUUGUGACAGCUUGUUUACACUCUACUUAUAAUGGCUGAACAAGGCAGUGCUCAAGAGGGGCUGGCGCCACCUACAGCAGAGGGAGCAGAUGGCGAGAUCGUGGGAGGCCCGCGGACGCCGCAGCAGAUCGCUGCUCAAAAGAGGCUGCAACAGACGCAGGCUCAAGUGGAUGAGGUCUGUGAAAUAAUGAAAUCAAAUGUUGAAAAAGUACUUGACAGAGACGCUAAAUUGUCUGAACUAGAUGAUAGAGCAGAUGCCCUGCAGCAAGGAGCUUCCCAAUUUGAACAACAAGCAAAGAGUUUAAAGAAUAAAUUUUGGCUUCAGAAUCUUAAGAUGAUGAUUAUUAUGGGUGUGAUUGGACUCGUUAUUAUUGGACUUCUUUUUGGUGAUAACAUAAAACAAAUGUUUGGUUAGUUCGGUAUCGCGGGACGCCGUCAAUGCCCAGCAUCGCCCCCGCACCGGCGACAAACGCUACUCAGAUCGUUGCUCCUCCUAAGUGAAAAUAUAUGUAAAGAGGAUGCCGCAACAAAAAAAAAACUAAUGUAUAAGUAUUUCAAUAUUUCAUACGUAAUUCAUUCGUAGUUUAUACAGUGAUAAAGAGAUUUACGUUACUUAAAAUUUUCCCUUAUAUAAAACUACUAUAUGUAUUCGUAGUACCUAAAUGUUGUAAUUGAUCUAGAUUUCCUUGACUACUAAAGAAAUAUAGAUUAUUUAUAUUAUGUAUACCUUCAAAGCUAAUACAACUUUUUUAUGAAGUAAAACUAAAAUACAAAAUUUCCUUAUAAUAGGGAGCUUUUCCACCAAUAAUGUGCGAGGAUGUGAAGCGAGUAUGUUUGUAACGAACCAAUCAUAUUGCUUUAUUUAGUUUUAAGUUUGAAGCAAUUAGCGUUUGCAGCGAUACUAAUGUUUAUUUAAAAACACAUUCCUCGCACAUUCCUUGUGGAAAAGCACCCUUAUACAUAAAUAUAUUCUUUGUCAAGUAAUUUUUGAAAGUGCCAAAACAGGCAAUGUUCCAAUAUUUUAUUUAACAAUGUAAAUAAUGUAUAUACAAUUUUCAAAGUCUAGUAAUGUAUAUCUCUUAACUUCAAUUUUAGUAAAAAAAUAUUAUCCGUCACACCAUUUUAAAUAAUAAUUAUUUAUUUUUAUUUUGUUGUUACCUUUAAGAAAUGUAACUGUGUUAAAAUAUUAUGUGAGUGUAAGAGACAGGCAAUUAAUGAAUUAUUUACAAAAAAUAUAUUCACUAUAGUUACUAUUAGAGCUGAGCUAUCUCUCAAUGAUUUGCGUGCCUUUGCAUAUAAUUAUUAUUAAAAUAAAGGUAAAACUUAUGAAUAAAAGGGUUUCAUACGGCCUAUAUACAGUAGUCUAGUAGCGUUGAAAAUAAUGUCUACUUACGUUGUACUAGAUAACCGGCAAUCUUCUGCUUCUUAAAUUAUUUCUAUAAGAAUGUUACGCGAGAAAUGAUAGGGUUAAGAUGUAUGGAAUUGAGUAUUGUAAGCAAGGAUACUUUCAAAUUCUUUAAUGCCACUCAAUUUUAAGAUAUAAUAUUUUCUUCUCUGUCAGAACAUUCUUGUACGGUGUACCACUACCACUCAUAUAAAGGCUAUUUAAAAUUGAGUGUUGUUAAAGAAUUUAACUAUGCAAUUAUUCGACUCGUUACUUUGAAGCUUUAAUGACGACAUCUUUUGUCAAUUAUAGUAAUCAAUAAAUGUCUAUGUAUUCAAACAAAAUUAGUAUAACAUAGAAUAUUAUAUAAUCUACAUAACGUACUUCAAUUAAUAUUAUUUUCAUGAACGAUAAGUGUACGAAUAAGUUUAUUGAAAUGUCUAUUGUCUAGGUAAAGUUAUGAAUUUUGUUAUCAGUUCAAAAGUUCGGUAAAACGGGUGAAAUAAUUUCAAUAGAUACUGCUCUUUUUAUUCUUUUUCCUGAACGGUAACGCUCAAUCCCAGUUGGGACCGAUUCUACCAAAAUUUUUUUUAUAAAAACAAAGUAUUGGACACUUAAAAAGCCGGGUCCACACAGAGCGAGCAGCGUCGCAUUGCGACGCAAUUUUUACGCAAGGCAGCUCGCUCAGUGUGGACGUAGCUCGGCGAAGGAAAACGCGUGAGCAUUUUCCUGAGGCACAUCGCACGGAAAUCGCUAUCGAAAUCACUUUAUGUUAAAAAUAUAAGGUGUCACUGCAUGCAUACAGAUGGUUAUUGGGUGUUCCAUGGUGAUAGAUAAAGAAGCGAGAAAAGAGUUUUAGAAUUUUAAGUAACAAGAAAAUCGAAUCAAAUCGAGAAACAUUGGUGUUUUUAAAAUGGGAUAUUAUAGUUAAAGUGUUGUGAUAUUCUUGUGAUUGUAAAGUUUAAACUAUGUCUUAAUAUUUUUCAAUCAUGAGAUAGUGAAGAUGAUGAACGAAGAGAGGAAGUAAACCUAUAAGAGUAUUUUCAAGUGAAGUGAAUUUAUAGAGCCCUUAGAAAAAAUAUUUUUUACUGGCUAAAAACCUGCUUAAAACCUCUAUUGCAAUUAUAAAUUAUUUGUAUUCUGUGCUAAACUUAAGUAGUUAUUUUAAAUGCGCAGAACUAAGCAAUGAGCUAUAUGAAAAUGUCAUAAACGCGUUGAGAAUUUAGUACCUAUUUUAAUAGUCUACUUAAAAUUUCUCUCGUUUGAUUUCAAAACCAGAGAUACUAUGCAAAUUUCUUCACUAUUAUUAUACAAAAACUACUAUAAAAUUAUAAUAGUCAAAAUAUAAAUUUCCUUACUCUUUAAGGUCUACUACUAAGGGUGUACAGGAAAUGUAUGGUGCCAUUGACAAUAUUACUUUUCUUAAUUAUAAUGUAAACGUUAGGACUGACACUUAUACCUAAUUAAGAAUGCAUAAUUUAUUUUACUUUGCUUUCUAAAUAAUAUAUCUAUGGUAUAUUUGAAUUUUCUCUCGAGACGUGAGUUACAUACAUGAUAUAUAAAUAACAAUUAUGUAUUGAAUACAUUACUAGGUACCUGGCUUAAAUUAUUUCAAUUGAUUAAAUAAUUACACAGAGUAAAUAAGAACUUUAACUUUAAGGUGUUUCGGGCUUGGUACCACCGACAAAAAUAACAAGAAACUGGUAUACAUAUACUUUAUUGUUUUUAUUUGCAAGAUUUCUAAUAUAUCUAUUAAUACCUACUACUAAUCUAAGGCCAUUUAUUUACAUUACCAAUUAUUCUAGGGAGAGUCGGGUACCGUCUACUUAUAGUUAAUUUAUUAUACAUUCUACUAUUUUAAUUAUAACAAUAAAUUAAUAAUUAUACGAUAACUACUCAGGAACAAUUGUUCUGAAUUUUAUUGGACUGUUUAAACUUCUGUCAAGUGUAAAACAUAAUAUAUUUAUAAUUAUACAGUAUUUUAUUUUUAAUUACGAGUUAUAUAUUUGUAUAGAGGUUAUUUUUAAUUAUGUUAUCACUUAUCUAUUUAAUAUAUGAUUUGUCAUUUUCACUAUGGUACUAACUUAGCUUUAAAAUGUAAAGAAGCAGUUACGUUUAGAAUAAAGUAUAACUUGUGUAGAUCUAACUGUAUUAGCUUUAUCUUCUACAAGUUAUUAUUUGUAUCAGUUAUUAUCAGUUGCCGCAUAAUUAAAUUUAAUGUUAAUUCAUGUUGAGCUUUAUCUUCUACAAGUUAUUAUUUGUAUCAGUUAUUCUCUGUGGCCGCAUUUCAAUGUCAAGUUGUGAUUAUUUUAAUGUAAUAU